rnacentral:rRNA from 1 species
AAGCCAUAUGGCGACAUAGAGCGGAACCCGAAAACCUGUCUCAGUUCGGAUUGGAGUCUGCAACCCGACUCCAUGAAGCUGGAUUCGCUAGUAAUCGCGCAUCAGCCACGGCGCGGUGAAUACGUUCCCGGGCCUUGUACACACCGCCCGUCAAGCCAUGGAAGCCGGGAGUGCCUGAAGUGCGUGAGCGCAAGCAGCGCCCUAAGGUAAAACCGGUGACUGGGGCUAAGUCGUAACAAGGUAUC